rnacentral:rRNA from 1 species
UACAGAGGGUGCGAGCGUUAAUCGGAAUUACUGGGCGUAAAGGGUGCGUAGGUGGUUAUGUAAGUAAUAGGUGAAAGUCCCGAGCUUAACUUGGGGAUUGCCUGUUAAACUGCACAGCUAGAGUGUCGUAGAGGAGAGUGGAAUUUCCGGUGUAGCGGUGAAAUGCGUAGAUAUCGGAAGGAACAUCAGUGGCGAAGGCGGCUCUCUGGACAACAACUGACACUGAGGCACGAAAGCGUGGGGAGCAAACAGG